rnacentral:rRNA from 1 species
AUGGAGGAUAAUUCUGCAUUGGACAGUGACACUUCUGAAGAGCAAGCUAUGAGCCUAUCUGUGGCAGUCACUUCUAGAGUGCAAUCAAAGAAGACUAUUCGCCUCCAAGGAUACAUCGACAAACAUCAAGUGUUGGUUCUGGUUGAUUCUGGUAGCUCUGGGAAUUUUAUUCACUCCGAUUUGGUUUCUCUAUUGCAAUUACCUGUCACUACCUUACCUGCAGUCAAUGUCACAAUUGCUGAUGGCUCCAAAAUGACUAGCACUUCAGGAAUUUCCAACCUCAGCUGGGGUGUGCAGCAACACAAAUUUAUCACUGAUGUGAGGGUACUGCCCUUGAAUUGCUAUGACAUGAUUGUUGGUAUGGACUGGCUGGAAGCAUGUGGACAGGGCAAGAUGUGGAUAGACUGGCGUCUGAAAACCAUGCAGUUUUGGCAUGAAGGAAAAAGGAUUACCCUCAGAGGUAUCAAGAACAACACUACUCACUGUCCCAAGAUUUCCACCAAAGAGCUCAAUUUUAUGGUGCAAUAG